rnacentral:misc_RNA from 1 species
GAUGAAGCACGUAGCGAAAUGCGAUAAGUAGUGUGAAUUGCAGAAUUCAGUGAAUCAUCGAAUCUUUGAACGCACAUUGCGCCCUUUGGUAUUCCAAAGGGCAUGCCUGUUCGAGCGUCAUUUGUACCCUCAAGCUUUGCUUGGUGUUGGGCGUCUUGUCUCUAGCUUUGCUGGAGACUCGCCUUAAAGUAAUUGGCAGCCGGCCUACUGGUUUCGGAGCGCAGCACAAGUCGCACUCUCUAUCAGCAAAGGUCUAGCAUCCAUUAAGCCUUUUUUUCAACUUUUGACCUCGGAUCAGGUAGGGAUACCCGCUGAACUUAAGCAUAUCAAUAAGCGGAGGA